CCGAAUUCGUCGACAACAGAGUUUGAUCCUGGCUCAGGACGAACGCUGGCGGCGUGCCUAAUACAUGCAAGUCGAGCGGAGUUUUGAAAAGCUUGCUUUUCAAAACUUAGCGGCGGACGGGUGAGUAACACGUGGGCAACCUGCCCUUGAGACGGGGAUAACUCCGGGAAACCGGAGCUAAUACCGGAUAACACAUAUCUUCGCAUGAGGAUAUGUUAGAAGGUGGCUUUUAGCUACCACUCAAGGAUGGGCCCGCGGCGCAUUAGCUAGUUGGUGAGGUAACGGCUCACCAAGGCGACGAUGCGUAGCCGACCUGAGAGGGUGAUCGGCCACACUGGGACUGAGACACGGCCCAGACUCCUACGGGAGGCAGCAGUAGGGAAUCUUCCGCAAUGGACGAAAGUCUGACGGAGCAACGCCGCGUGAGUGAUGAAGGUUUUCGGAUCGUAAAGCUCUGUUGUUAGGGAAGAACAAGUACCUGUUGAAUAAGCAGGUACCUUGACGGUACCUAACCAGAAAGCCACGGCUAACUACGUGCCAGCAGCCGCGGUAAUACGUAGGUGGCAAGCGUUGUCCGGAAUUAUUGGGCGUAAAGCGCGCGCAGGCGGUUCCUUAAGUCUGAUGUGAAAGCCCACGGCUCAACCGUGGAGGGUCAUUGGAAACUGGGGAACUUGAGUGCAGAAGAGGAGAGCGGAAUUCCACGUGUAGCGGUGAAAUGCGUAGAGAUGUGGAGGAACACCAGUGGCGAAGGCGGCUCUCUGGUCUGUAACU
rnacentral:rRNA from 1 species